rnacentral:rRNA from 1 species
AUGGCAGAGGUGGCGCUGGUUGUGGCUGGCAUACGGGCUGGCUUACAAUUGGUGGUAUCACCAAUCUUAAAGAAGCUCCUAGCUGACCCUGCAAGGUGCCUUGGUGUGGACAUGGUGAGUGAGCUCUGUGAACUGGAGACCAACAUCAUGCCGCAGUUCGCUCUACUGGUUGAAGCAGCUAACAAGGGCCCACACAGGGCAAUGCUGGAAAAGUGGAUCCAGCAGCUCAAAGAUGCCUUCUAUAAAGCUGAGGACCUGCUAGAUGAGCAUGAGUACAACAUCCUCAAGCCCGAAGCUGAGAACGGGAAGGAUGAUUCGCUGGAGCAUGCAUCUUCCAGUGACGCUAUAAUGAAGCAUAUGCGUACUGUGUCGAGCAGGCUGUCCAAUAUGCGCCCAAAGAAUAAAAAGCUAUUCGACCAGCUGAAGGAACUGAAGGCCAUCCUGGCGAAAGUCAAGGACUUCCGCGACCUGCUUUGCUUACCUGCUGGUAAUGGUGUUGAGGCCUCCGCAGUACUGACAUCUGUUAUUCCAGUGGCCACAUCAAUAGGACUUCCGAGAGUGAUCGGUCGUGACAAGGAUCGUGAUGAUAUUAUAGAUCUUCUAACGAAGCCGAUUGCUGUUGAGUCUGCUACACGUAGGUAUUCUGGUCUAGCCAUUGUUGGACUUGGAAGCAUGGGAAAAUCCACCUUGGCGCAGCAUGUUUACAAUGACAAGAGGGUAGAAGACCAUUUUGAUGUCAGGAUGUGGGUCUGCAUCUCGCGCAGACUUGAUGUUCACCGCCACACGCGGGCGAUUAUUGAGGGCAUCUCCAGCCGUUGCCCCCCCCAGGACGCACAAAAAUCGCCCCCUGGGGGCGAGCCGGCGAGACACUCGGCGCUGGGGGCGGUUUUUCGCCCAGUCGCCGCCCCCAGCUCGCCCCCAGGCGCCGAAAUUGGCCCACUUGGCAGCCCAAUUUCGGCGACUAAACGGCCCAUAUGGGCGAGAAUAGACCCAUAUUCGGCGUGGUUUCGCCCUUUCUCGGCGUUCAUUUAUCAACAUAAUUAUUCCUUAUCACAUAUUUCAUCACAGAAAAAUUAA